GCUCCCAUCAGCCCUGAUGCGGGCCUGCAUGCACCACACACAAAAUAAUCACCCACAAUAUGUACAGGGGAGUUCCCACCGGGGGACACCGAGCAGCCGAGGACUCACCGGCACCGGAGCUCCUCCAUCGUCCAGGGAGGAGGAUAAAUACAAGAAUGAAAGAAGGAAGAGCACAGACAUGGGCCUGAUGUGAUGUGUAGCUGGUGACUUUCACUUAUUUCUACUGCAAGAGGAAAGAGGAUAGCAGACUUCUAUAUGAAGAUUUCGAUCAGAUGAAGUGUGGACCAUAAAGUCUGGAUUUCUUUUCCAACCUGGGAUCUGAUGGAGCAGAAGUUUGGAGGAGAGGAGCUGCAACACACCCAGGAGUUUGCCAACAAACAAACGGAUGCAAUUAAACACACUCGCCCUCAGAUCAUCAAUGAGGAGGCAAAGUGGAGACGGGCAGGAAACAGUCAAGGACGAACGGAAGGCGGGAGAACACUCUGCCGCCUCAAGGUUAAAACUGACUGACUCAAGUGUGUGAGGAGCUCAUCUCCACACAAUACGGAUGCUUUUUGCUUCUUCUACACACACACACACACACAGACACACACUCGGUUCUUCCAUUGUAAAUUCAUUUUGUAUUGAAGUGUCAUUGCUUCUGUCUCUGAAGUGAUUAAAGAUCAGUUUUGCAAAUAAAGACAUCAGUUUUGAAAGCUUCCCUCUGCUCUCCUUCCCUUGCCUCACCUCACCAUCAGUAGCCUUCUCCUCUGUGUGCUGAGGUGUGUGCACGGCGUGGUAAAACCUGCCCUGCAGACUGGACCUCUCCAGUCUUCAAAGGAGGAAGGAACUCAAUGUGGGGGGAUUUGUUCAGGCUUAUUUGGUAACCUAGGAUUUGAAUUGGAUUUUGGGAGGCAUUCAUAACACAUUUGAAAAUGUUACAUUGUGUGAUUUUGUGUGUAA